rnacentral:rRNA from 1 species
GACGAACGCUGGCGGCGUGCUUAACACAUGCAAGUCGAGCGGUAAGGCCCUUCGGGGUACACGAGCGGCGAACGGGUGAGUAACACGUGAGUGAUCUGCCCUUCACUUCGGGAUAGCUUCCGGAAACGGAAAUUAAUACCGGAUAUGACCACUGGUCGCAUGGUUGGUGGUGGAAAGUUUUUUCGGUGGAGGAUGUGCUCGCGGCCUAUCAGCUUGUUGGUGAGGUAAUGGCUCACCAAGGCUUCGACGGGUAGCCGGCCUGAGAGGGUGACCGGCCACACUGGGACUGAGACACGGCCCAGACUCCUACGGGAGGCAGCAGUGGGGAAUAUUGGACAAUGGGCGGAAGCCUGAUCCAGCAACGCCGCGUGAGGGAUGACGGCCUUCGGGUUGUAAACCUCUUUCAGCUCCGACGAAGCGCCCUAAUUGGGUUGUGACGGUAGGUGCAGAAGAAGGACCGGCCAACUACGUGCCAGCAGCCGCAGUAA